rnacentral:rRNA from 1 species
UACGUAGGGGGCGAGCGUUGUCCGGAAUGACUGGGCGUAAAGGGCGCGUAGGCGGCGGUCACAGUCAGAUGUGAAAUUCCUGGGCUUAACCUGGGGGCUGCAUUUGAUACGUGGUUGCUUGAGUGGGGAAGAGGGUCGUGGAAUUCCCAGUGUAGAGGUGAAAUUCGUAGAUAUUGGGAAGAACACCGGUGGCGAAGGCGGCGACCUGGUCCUUGACUGACGCUGAGGCGCGAAAGCGUGGGGAGCAAACAGG